UCGGAGGCUGGCAGAGCACGAGAAGGAGGAGAAGAGCAAGGAGUGUGAGCUGUGGCAUCAGAAACACAAUAUCCUUAAUGACAUGCUGAGGAGUCAAGAGAAGGCUGAAAGAAAAAAAUAAAGCUUGUCAAGCCAAAUUCCAGACUUACUUGCUGUGCAGGACAGAAUGUGACCAGCAGCUGUGUUGCAAGAACAAAUGACAGGACUCCGAAGAGUUUUGUGGAAGGAGAGCGAGUGCACUUUACUGAAGCUGAUGCCCAGGUGC